rnacentral:rRNA from 1 species
CCUACGGGCGACAGCAGUGAGGAAUAUUGGUCAAUGGGCGCGAGCCUGAACCAGCCAAGUAGCGUGAAGGAUGACUGCCCUACGGGUUGUAAACUUCUUUUAUAAAGGAAUAAAGUGAGGCACGUGUGCCUUUUUGUAUGUACUUUAUGAAUACGGAUCGGCUAACUCCGUGCCAGCAGCCGCGGUAAUACGGAGGAUCCGAGCGUUAUCCGGAUUUAUUGGGUUUAAAGGGAGCGUAGAUGGGUUGUUAAGUCAGUUGUGAAAGUUUGCGGCUCAACCGUAACAGUGCAAUUGAUACUGGCAGCCUUGAGUACAGGUGAGGGAGGCGGAAUUCGUGGUGUAGCGGUGAAAUGCUGAGAUAUCACGAAGAACUCCGAUUGCGAAGGCAGCUUACUAAACUGCCACUGACAUUGAUGCUCGAAAGUGUGGGUAUCAAACAGGAUUAGAUACCCGAGUAGUC